GGGCUCCUAGCUCAGUUGGUUAGAGCGUCUCAUUUACACUGAGAAGGUCAGAGGUUCGAGUCCUCUGGAGCCCA
rnacentral:tRNA from 1 species